rnacentral:rRNA from 1 species
UACGGAGGGGGCAAGCGUUGUUCGGAAUCACUGGGCGUAAAGGGUGCGUAGGCGGGUCUUUUAAGUCAGGGGUGAAAUCCUGGAGCUCAACUCCAGAACUGCCUUUGAUACUGAAGAUCUUGAGUUCGGGAGAGGUGAGUGGAACUGCGAGUGUAGAGGUGAAAUUCGUAGAUAUUCGCAAGAACACCAGUGGCGAAGGCGGCUCACUGGCCCGAUACUGACGCUGAGGCACGAAAGCGUGGGGAGCAAACAGG